GACGAAGGGGGCUAGCGUUGUUCGGAAUUACUGGGCGUAAAGCGCGUGUAGGCGGUUGUCCAAGUCGGGUGUGAAAGCCUUGAGCUCAACUCAAGAAAUGCACUCGGUACUGGGCGACUAGAGGACCGGAGAGGAUAGUGGAAUUCCCAGUGUAGUGGUGAAAUACGUAGAUAUCUGGAGGAACACCGGUGGCGAAGGCGACAUCCUGGACCGGUAUUGACGCUGAGGCGCGAAAGCCAGGGGAGCAAACGGG
rnacentral:rRNA from 1 species